UCUUCACGAACGAUCGAACACUUGUCGAGUAACAUACGUCGAUCGGCGACGAAUGUUAUUUUGUUCCUUUUUUAUUUUUUUAUUCAUUUAAAAAGACAAUAUAGCUUUCGUUGGACCGAGAGUCACUGCAUUGAAUGUUUUUGUCACUGAUUGUACGGAUACACCUUUACUGAUUAAAAUGGUCAUGCAUUUUAACAAUUCCUUAGAACCACCUUACAAUAAACACGUGUUUCAUUGUAUGGCGUGAUGUCCCAAUUGGUAUAAAUUGGAUUUAUACGUAGAACGCGAGGUCUGUCGCUCUGUGGCAUCGAUAAAACAACUGAGUUCUGAACUUGACGACGCAUCUUGGUGGCCUUGAGAACAAGUCCAGGGAUAAAGAAAUUGUUAAAUGUCCGAUGCAGCCGAUGUUACACAAUUUAUCGCAAAUGUGGAGGAGGGAGCGGGUUAGAAGAAACAGUGUCAGACUCUUACUGACCAAACCAGAACCGCCGUGCUACGUCAUCGUGUAUGGCAAUGCAUUGCAAUCCUUCAUACGGAAGUACAGUACCAUGUAAGAAAAUACUUAUUAUAUCAAAAAUUAUUUUAAAUGUUGUGACAUUUUAAGUUUGAUAUUAUUUUGCAGAAUAGAGGUGAGAUCAAAAUUGUUUAAAUGAAAUUUAUUGUUCGAUAAUAAAUGUUAGGACAUAAAUUA